UACGCACUGUUUGUCUAUUUCCUUCUUUGACAUAUACAAUUUAUUGUGUUGUCAAUCUUUUACUUUGAAAAAAUUAGAGUUUCAAAGCAGGCGUAACAAAGCCUUUGAAUAUAUUAGCAUGGGAUAAUGAAAUAAGACUUUUUGCCUUAUUCUCGUUGGUUCUUAGGGAUAAAGUAAUGAUUAAUAGGGAUAGUUGGGGUCAUUAGUAUUUAAUUGUCAGAGGUGAAAUUUUAAGAUUUAUUAAAGACUAACUACUGCGAAAGCAUUUGACAAGGAUGUUUUCAUUAAUCAAGAACGAAAGUUGGGGGAUCGAAGAUGAUCAGAUACCGUCGUAGUCUCAACCAUAAACUAUGCUGACCAAGGAUUCGGGGGUGUUAUAUGAAUGACCCUCCGGGCACUUAUAGAGAAAUCAUAAGUAUUUGGGUUCCGGGGGGAGUAUGGUCGCAAGGCUGAAACUUAAAGGAAUUGACGGAAGGGCACAACAAGGAG
rnacentral:rRNA from 1 species